GUAGGUGGCAAGCGUUGUCCGGAAUUAUUGGGCGUAAAGCGCGCGCAGGCGGUUCUUUAAGUCUGAUGUGAAAGCCCACGGCUCAACCGUGGAGGGUCAUUGGAAACUGGAGAACUUGAGUACAGAAGAGGAAAGCGGAAUUCCACGUGUAGCGGUGAAAUGCGUAGAGAUGUGAGGAACACCAGUGGCGAAGGCGGCUUUCUGGUCUGUAACUGACGCUGAGGCGCGAAAGCGUGGGGAGCAAACAGGAUUAGAUACCCUGGUAGUCCACGCCGUAAACGAUGAGUGCUAAGUGUUAGGGGGUUUCCGCCCCCCUUAGUGCUGCAGCUAACGCAUUAAGCACUCCGCCUGGGAGUACGGCCGCAAGGCUG
rnacentral:rRNA from 1 species